AAUUUCAACUCACUUUGUUUUGAGUUGAGUUUUGGUUCACCAAUCUACUAGGCUUUGAAUUUCAUGGUUAAAGUUUUGUUUUUAAGUGCAUGCAAGCAUGAUUCCGCCUUUAAUUGUUAAUUGCAUGCUUAUUGAUGUUGCUUAAAUGAACUUGUUUUCACAAAAUAAUCCUUCAAGUGGUAUCAGAGCCUAGGUCUAGUAGUUGGUGAAUCCUU
rnacentral:lncRNA from 1 species